AGUUAGCUCAGUCCUCAAUCCAUCAUAUAAUAUAGCGGGUAAAGACAGCUGUCAGGGAGACACGUCCGAUUUUUGGAAAGGGUGCUGUCCCAGACACUUUUUGGCAGGACAGAAGUGGGACUACAAACGCGAAACGGUCCGGCUGGAAAGUUUGGCCAAAGCUGCUCAGCUGAAGUUGCGUGGCAGUCAUUUGCCGUCUGACAGCUUCCAGCUGCAGAGAAACUUCAGAGUUGGACAUUGACCAGCUAUUUGACCUGCCCAGCCAGCAGCACAGUCUGUCUCCUUUCCUAAUUCGCACCCCCUCCUCGGAAAGCUCAUGCCAUUCAAAGUAAUGGGCCUGAUGAUGAGAUUUGGCACUUGGACAGAAAGUAGUGAAUCCAUCCAUCCAUCCAUCCAUCCACCCAGGCCUGCACCAGAGAGCGUGAAGCACUAUAAUGUGCAGGGGGAG
ensembl:lncRNA